rnacentral:rRNA from 1 species
UACAUAGGGGGCAAGCGUUGUCCGGAUUUAUUGGGCGUAAAGAGCGUGUAGGCGGCUUUACAGGUCCGUUGUGAAAACUCGAGGCUCAACCUCGAGACGCCGGUGGAAACCGUAAAGCUAGAGUCCGGAAGAGGAGAGUGGAAUUCCUGGUGUAGCGGUGAAAUGCGCAGAUAUCAGGAAGAACACCCGUGGCGAAGGCGGCUCUCUGGGACGGUACUGACGCUGAGACGCGAAAGCGUGGGGAGCGAACAGG